UGUCCGUUCUGAGGUUGGGCUGGUUUCUCCUCUUGGCCCUGCCCUGCAGACCAUAAAGGGAAUCAGCAAGAGGUCCCCAGCAAACCUCCACAGAUGGCCCUGGACAUCAGCCACAUUCUGAGAAACAUGUCAUGUUCUGGGAGGGCUAAGGCAUCAAGUAAGGCCUAUGGGGCUGGAGGAUCCCAGGGCAGGUGGGGCAAUCCAGAGCCAUGGGGGCUUCCCAUGGGAAUAGAGAGGUCCCGAGGCAGAGGCAGGGGUUCCACAGGAGGAGUCCCAGAGCCACCAAGCGCUCUCCUGGCCCAGGGAGCAGUCAACACCAUGGACUGAGCACCUACUGGGCUCCAAGCUCUGGGCCAGGCUGGGGCAUGUGGGGCCAGGAGGGAGCUCAGAGUGGGAAACAGAGAGACAAGUGUACUCAGAGGGCACCCGUUUCUGGGUGUAAUGUGGUCCUGAGAUUCUGGCUGGGAAGUGCUUCCAGGGUUUCAUAUGUGUUAUGGAGCUGCUUCCUCUCCCCAGCCUCACCCUGCAGGAAUCCCAGGGAAUGUAUUGCCACCAUCUUGGAGCUCAGUGCCCUUAUAGUGUAACAGCACCAGCAGAUCUGCCUGUGCAUGGACUUCCUGUACUAGCCAUUCCUGAGGGGUGAUGCUUCUGCAGGGCCUGUGACCUGGUGCACAAUUUUAGACACCAUCAUCCUGCAGCAGCACUGCACCCUUACUAGCCAGGGUGUUGAUGACUUCCUCAAGGCCAAGGCCACGUUCAAGACUUAGGACUUCAGUGAUGCACUUGUGCUGGGCAAGGUGGCUUCUCCAGGAUCUUAAUUCAGGAGGUAGAAUGGAGCUUGAGGUUAAGUGUCUGAUCAAAGAACUUGAACUUGAUCUGGAAGGCUCUGGGAAGCCAUGGAAGGUGCUGGAUAAAGGAGGGACAGUCAGAUAUGUUUUAGAGAUGACUGUAGAAGGCUGCCUGGAAGGAGUGAACAAGAGCCAGGAGACCAGGGAGGGAGCUUGUGGGGCAGGUCUGGAGAUGGCAAGGGAGGGAUCCUGUCAGUCUUCAAGGACUGUCUCAGGUUACAAUCAGGUGCCCUCAGAGCUAGUGUGUUCAGAGGUCUUGUCUCCAGGAUGAAAAUGGGAAGGAGUCGUCAGAUGAGGACAUAUAAAUGGAGGCUGGCAUCUUCAUGAGUACCAGUGGUGGUCCCGGUGUAGGUCUCUCCAUCCAGGGACAUGGUGGAUGGACAUUACAUCACUCCAUUCUGCCCUUCCUUUCCCUCCUCCCAUUCUCCCGAGGGCCUCACUGCAUGAGCACUGUCCAACCUCUGGUGCUGAAGCAGCCAAGAGACCCAAGCCUGUGUGGCUGCCUCUUAGGAUAUGACAGCACAGCCAGUGGCCUCUACUGGAUCCUAUGCAACCUCAGAAGACACCCAGACACCAUGAGUGAUGCCACCACGUGGUGCAAGAGUUCUGAGGGACCAUAAUCCUGAACACAUUGAAUGGUGGGUGCAGGGCCUCAUGGCCUGUUCCCCAGCCCCUCUCAUUGGCUCUGCUCCAGGUGGUGAAGGGGGAAAAUGUUUUUGUCAAUUCUGCCAUGAUUGCCUAGCAGGAAAAGGAGCAGAGCCCAGAAGCAGGGCCUGGUAUGCAGCCUGCCUAACAAGGGAGAAUUUGUAGGCUUUGUGGACAGAAAGAUCUGGGAGUCCAUAUCUAUCACUCACUAGCUUGCUGAGACAUUAGUAAAAUCAGUUUUCUGAACUACAUUUCUGUCAUCUGUAAAGUGAGAGGAAUUUCUUCUACUCGUGAGGCUUCUUGGAGAAUUAGUGACAGUGUAUGUAGAGCAGGGCCCACCCAGCAGGCAUUUGGUGUCCAGACCACUCCUCUUCCCCCUUGAUUUUCUGCCUAAAUUUGCAUUUUGUUCUUAAGACUUUCACUCCCCUUAAUUCUGCUCUUCCCUCUGAUUCCCGCCUUAUUGUAUAUCCCAUGGAGUCACCAGGAUCAAAGUGGGUAACAGUCUUGUAUGCAUGUAUAUGUACAUACACACUUUGUUGGGUUGGAAAGUGCUGUGUGAGUGUGUGUAUGUGUUGGAGUCACUGACUGAAACUCUCCACACCAGGCUGUGUUCCUGCUCAUUGCUGGAGGUGCUGUCAGGGGCCCAGCCCUCAACCCCGGGUCUGACCCUUGCAGCUCAGGCAGGACAUUCUGGAGGAAUCAUGUCCUUGGAAGGAGCCCUGAGGAGUGACUGUUGUUAGAUGAAAAAACUGGGGCAAAGAGCAAUACGGAGAAUUGCCCAAAUUCACACCAUUGGUCCAGGUUUGAAGCAAGCAGUCUGUACCUGGAGUCCUUGUCUGUAACCAUGGCACCCUGCCUUCUUACCCAACUCAUCGUGGAGUUCCACCUUGUGUCAGGCACUGCACUGAGCAGCUUCUUUUAAGAACAUAAUUUGUAAUUAUGUAGAUUACUAAUUCUACUUCAAAACGCCACACAGCCUUCAUGUGAUUAAAUGAAACAAUUGCUCAUCUGAUCUCCUGGGAUCUCUACUAAGAUGUUGGCAGCCCAGCCAGCUGGUCCGGCCCUGGACAUGCCUUAGCAGCUGGUUAUGCUUCAUGACCUGCAUUGCGGUGGGUGCCAUUUUGCAGACGCUGGUCAGAGUGGAACGUUCCAUGGGAACUCGGGCCAUGAGAAACAUCCUUCCUGACCACGUGACUGCAGAAACAUCCUUGUCGCACCCUCCCGGGCAAAGGCCCAACAGCCUGACUGCAUAGACAUCCUUGCCAUAUCCUGCUGGGCAGCAAGCUCUACCACCCUGAACCCUCCCUCCCAGUCCCAUGAUUACCCCAGCCUGUGAGUGGCAGUUGGCCCUAGCACUAAGCUGGUUUACCCCUCCGCAGGGUUUUGCUGUCAAUAAAGAUGUUGCUGUUGAAUCUGCCAA